rnacentral:rRNA from 1 species
UACGUAGGGUGCGAGCGUUAAUCGGAAUUACUGGGCGUAAAGCGUGCGCAGGCGGCUUUGCAAGACAGAUGUGAAAUCCCCGGGCUCAACCUGGGAACUGCAUUUGUGACUGCAAGGCUAGAGUACGGCAGAGGGGGAUGGAAUUCCGCGUGUAGCGGUGAAAUGCGUAGAUAUGCGGAGGAACACCAAUGGCGAAGGCAAUCCCCUGGGCCUGUACUGACGCUCAUGCACGAAAGCGUGGGGAGCAAACAGG